GACGACGCUGGCGGCGUGCUUAACACAUGCAAGUCGAACGGUGAUCUUGAGAGCUUGCUCUUGGGUGAUCAGUGGCGAACGGGUGAGUAACACGUGAGUAACCUGCCCCUGACUCUGGAAUAACUUCGGGAAACCGAAGCUAAUACCGGAUAUGACACAGAGCCGCAUGGUUUCUGUGUGGAAAGUUUUUCGGUUGGGGAUGGACUCGCGGCCUAUCAGCUUGUUGGUGAGGUAAUGGCUCACCAAGGCGACGACGGGUAGCCGGCCUGAGAGGGCGACCGGCCACACUGGGACUGAGACACGGCCCAGACUCCUACGGGAGGCAGCAGUGGGGAAUAUUGCACAAUGGGCGAAAGCCUGAUGCAGCGACGCCGCGUGAGGGAUGAAGGCCUUCGGGUUGUAAACCUCUUUCAGUAGGGAAGAAGCGCAAGUGACGGUACCUACAGAAGAAGCACCGGCUAACUACGUG
rnacentral:rRNA from 1 species